AGCUCAAUGGUCUAGUGGUAUGAUUCUCGUUUUGGGUGCGAGAGGUCCUGAGUUCUACUCUCAGUUGAGCCC
rnacentral:tRNA from 1 species